rnacentral:rRNA from 1 species
CCCUUAGAUGUUCUGGGCUGCACGCGCGCUACACUGAAGCGUUCAACGAGUAUUCACCUUGCCCGGGAGGGUUGGGUAAUCUUUUGAAAACGCUUCGUGAUGGGGAUAGAUUAUUGCAAUUAUUAAUCUUCAACGAGGAAUUCCUAGUAAGCGCGAGUCAUCAGCUCGUGCUGAUUACGUCCCUGCCCUUUGUACACACCGCCCGUCGCUCCUACCGAUUGAAUGGUCCGGUGAAGCGUUUGGACUAUGGUUUUCUGACGGUUCGCCAUUGGAUUACCGUGGGAAAUUCGUUAAACCUUAUCAUUUAGAGGAAGGAGAAGUCGUAACA